AGAAUCAACGCUGGCGGCGUGCCUAACACAUGCAAGUCGAACGAGAAAGGGGAGCAAUCCCUGAGUAAAGUGGCGACCGGGUGAGUAACACGUGACUAGCCUACCCUCGAGUGUGGAAUAACAUCGGGAAACCGAUGCUAAUACCGCAUAACAUCGGCGCUUUUAAGAGAUGCCGAUCAAAGGAGCAAUCCGCUUGAGGAGGGGGUCGCGGCUGAUUAGCUAGUUGGCGGGGUAACGGCCCACCAAGGCGAAGAUCGGUAGCCGGCCUGAGAGGGCGCGACGGACCGACGACCUGGAACUGAAACACGGUCCAGACUCCUACGGGAGGCAGCAGUGGGGAAUUUUGCGCAAUGGGGGAAACCCUGACGCAGCAACGCCGCGUGGAGGAUGAAGCCCCUUGGGGCGUAAACUCCUUUCGACCAAGACGAUAAUGACGGUACUGGUGGAAGAAGCACCGGCUAACUCUGUGCCAGCAGCCGC
rnacentral:rRNA from 1 species